rnacentral:rRNA from 1 species
CCAAUAGCGUAUAUUAAAGUUGUUGCAGUUAAAAAGCUCGUAGUUGAAUUUCGGGAUCAGUACGUUGGUCGUGCCUUCGGUACGUACUGGCGUUACAGGUUCCUACCUUCUGAGGAACCGUCAUGUCAUUAAUUUGGUGUGGUGGGAAAUCAGGACUGUUACUUUGAAAAAAUUAGAGUGUUUAAAGCAGGCUCGCGCUUGAAUACAUUAGCAUGGAAUAAUGAAAUAGGACGUUCGAUCCUAUUUUGUUGGUUUCUAGGAUUGACGUAAUGAUUAAUAGGGAUAGUUGGGGGCAUUAGUAUUCAAUUGUCAGAGGUGAAAUUCUUGGAUUUAUUGAAGACUAACUACUGCGAAAGCAUUUGCCAGGGAUGUUUUCAUUAAUCAAGAACGAAAGUUAGGGGAUCGAAGACGAUCAGAUACCGUCGUAGUCUUAACCAUAAACUAUGCCGACUAGGGAUCGGAUGAUGUUAUUUUUAAUGACUCAUUCGGCGCCUUACG